rnacentral:lncRNA from 1 species
AGAAUAUUCAUGCAAAAUCCGAUAUUUAGAAAGAUAUUCAUGUAAAAAAUCUUUAAAAAAAUUGAUAAUGUGGCUCGAUCUUUUUUUGACUUACCAAUCCAACUGAAUCAUAAAAAGCUUGGCAAAUUUCAGCCGAGUUUUGAUUUUUUUAAUAUAUAUCUUGUUAAAUAUAAAAACUUGCAUUAAUACCUUUGUAAAGCUUCUAUUUGCAUGUAUACCCUUAUAACUUUCUUUUGUAUAUCUACCCAUAAGGAUAUUUUCAGUCAUUUUAAUUUUAAGCUAUUUAUUUUUUAACAACAUUAAAUAGUAUGGGUAUAUAUACAAAAAAAAAAGAAGAAGAUAUACAUACAAAUAGGGUAUUCAUGCAAUUUCAUAUAUUUAGGAGGGUAUACAUACAAAAGAAAAAUUCUAAACUAAAUUAACAAGAAAAUCCACAUUAAGAACUUAGAUUUCUCAAAACAAGUUGCACAAUUGGAAGUACCUCUAGCUUAUAAGAUUCCCUCACUUGUAAGAGAGUUGGAUCAUCUUGAGAGGUGCUAUGUUCUUAACUCCCCAAACGAUCAUUUUGGUGCCAAUAUGAGUGCAGCUCAUAAGCAGUCAUGGACAAGGAUCUCACAACUUUGUUUAAGCUAGUUUGGCGGGGUAUUGAUGGUUUUGGUAGGCUGCUACCUUUGUUCAAAUGCCUCUGUUGAGCUGCAUGGAAGCUAUUCUUGCCUUCAUAUCCUUGCAUCUCCACUUCGCCCACAAGGUGUGCUGAGCCCUCCUCUUCAUCUGUCUCUGCUGCCUUUG